GGGGGCGGGCGGGGGACGUCCAAGCAAUCGGCCUCCCAGCCGGCUCUCCUAGGACCGCCUGGCCCCAGAAGGAGCCAUGCAAUUCUCAGCAGCUCACUCGCCCAGGUGUUACGGGGCCUCGUGAAAUGCCUCCGGAAUGGGUCCUUCGCAGCUCCCGUUAGGAGGGGACGCCGUGGACUAACAGACAUCGCUGUCAGGAAGGCGUUGAUGCGGCUGCGCGGCUUACAUUUUAUUUUCCGCAGUGUCAGCUCGCGGUUCCCAAUUACCUCCCCUUAGGCCGCCGGGCGUGCAGGAUCACAGCCCAGCCUGUCUCGGCACCUCUCCGCCAGAGGGUUCUUCUUACAAACGGCCACUUAACACACAGCCCCACGCCACCCGGCCUUCCUGGAACUGGAACCACUCAAGCGGGCCAGCUCCAACCCAGUGACGAGUCCCGGGAGCGGCCCGCUUCCCCACGACCCUCUCUCCGCCUAGCUUGGGCCUCCUACUGGCUGCGCCGGGGAGCUCCCGCAGGUCACAGCGCGCCACCAGUUCCUGCCCCCUUCUCUGCCUGCCUGGGCUUUGAAAUACGGUGUCAGGAAGCCAUAAAGAGAGAAAGCAAAGACUUUCACAGUGAGAAAUGAGAAAUGAUGAGGAGAAGAAGCAACCUGUGGAGCCGAGACUUAAAGAGGGAAUAUGCUUCUGGAGUCAGCUGCAGCCGAGGUGUCUAAAAAUGAAAGAGAAAGGGGCACUCGCUAAACACAUCCUGCUCAACUAGAGACUGCAGUUCCCAGUCUUUAUUGCAGCUACAUGUGGCCAAGCAACCAAUUACCUGCCAGUGUGAUGCAAAGAGAAGUGAUAAUCUUCCGUUUUCAGGCCAUGCCUUCAUAAAGAUAAACACAAUUUUUUAAAGUUCUCACAGAAUUCAUAGACCUCAAGUAACACCAGCAAACCCGUUUGAGAAAGACCAGCCCAGAUUGUAAGCCCUCGACUAAAGGCAGGGCAUAGUACUGGACUUCAUCCUCAGCACCUUGACCUGGUCGCCCUUCUCCGACAAUUUGAGGUUGAUGAUGGUGAUAUGACCAUGGCCAGCCUCCUGUCCUACACAGGAAAGGACAACCUGCAAUGCCAGCCGGGGACUGGUAAGCACCAUAGGAGUGCUCAGGCGCUCAGGGUGACAGCAGACAGCACUGCAGCCACCCAAAGCUCGAGUCCAGCUGGGUGAUCAGAAAAGCUUCCAUAGUGGACGUGGAAGGUGAGCUGAGUCCAGGAACAUAAAAACGACUUUGUGGCACAAAGAACAAAGAGGAGGGCUUUACCAUUAAGAAAGGGAAGUAUUUUCCUUUCCUGUUGAUUUGCUGCCUCCUCUCAAAUUGGAUUUACCAACAAAGACAGGCCCUAAGGACAUGCAUCACAAGUCCGUUCAAGCCUCAGAGGACUGGAUGGGUUUUGAGUAAUGCCCAACCAGGCAGGACACACUAGAAAGAUAAUUGAAAAUCUAAGGAAACUCUGAUUCAUCCAUGAAAAAAAAGCAUCCCAGGGAGCCGAAAGAAAAUUACUCUUUUCUACCACCUUCUGUCUCCUUUCUCUCCACUUCUGAGUAUGAAAACUACUUUAGGCCACCCAGAUCCUGCUCUCAAAAUCUGAAGUUUGUCACUAAUGAUCUGAAACUCCCCUUUCUAUGUUUUCUCAGGUCUUAACCCAAGCCCCCACACUCCUGAAUAGCAGGUCCUUGAGGUCCACUACUGUGUCUUCUUCAUGUUUUUUUCAAUAUUAUACUGCCAAUCACAUCUAUGCAUUCAAUAAAUAUUUGCUUU